AGGAUAUGCAGAAGUUUAUCUCUAAAUCUCAUUUCAACAUUUUAUAGAUAUUCUGUCAGUAAAAAUAAAUAUUUUUAAAAUAUUUUUUAUCAUUCAAGUAGUGUACAUUGUACCCAAUAGGUAGCUUUUCAUUCUUCCUACCCUGUCCCCAAUGUUUAUUAUAACACUCUGUAUGCCUUUGUGUAUCCAUAGCUUAGUUUCCAGUUAUAAGGGAGUCAUGCAGUAUUUGGUUUUCGAUUCCUGAGUGACUUCACUUAGAAUAAUGGCCUCUAGUUCCAUCCAAGUUUCUGCAAAAGACAUUUCAUUAUUUUCAUGGCUGAGUAGUAUUCUAUAGUAUACAUAUAUAUAUAUAUAUAUACACAUACAUAUAUAAUCACAUUUUCUUUAUUCACUCAUCAGUUGAUGGGCACUUAGGCUGAUUCCACAUCUUUGCAACUGUGCAAUACGCUGUGAUAAACAUAUGCAUGCAGGUGUCUUUUUGAUAUAAAUACUAAACACCUCUAUCAAAGAAGGCCCAAAAUGGCAGGAGAAACAUUUCAUAUAAAACAAUAAUUAUCAGGAUAGUCACUUGUUAUUGAGUACCUAUAUUGCAUCUGAUGUUGUAAAUAUAUUCAAAUAUUUAAUCCCUAAAGCAACCUUUAAAGUUAAGUGUUACCACUCUCAUCUCCAGAUGAGGCAGUGAAGUGUCUGAGGGAUCUAAUAAACUGUUCAAGUUACACACAUGAAAAUUUGAUGUACACUUAUUCUGAUUCCAAAGGCCAGGCUUUUUUAGAUCUUAGCACUGCUCUUAUACAAGCAACAAAUGAAAGAGGUUCAAGGAAAGAGAAAUUUCACCCAAUGUAUUGAGGAAAAGGGUAAAUAUGGAUGCUACUGCAAUAGACUGAAAGGUUAUGUCCUCUCAAAAUUCAUGUGCUGAAAUCUAAUCUCCAAGGUGAUGGUAUUAGAAUGUGGAACAUUUGGGAAGUGAUUAUGUCAUGAGGGUGGGAUGGGAUUAGUGUCCUUAUAAAAGAGGCCCCAGAGAGUUCCAUCAUCCUUUCCAUCAUGUGACAACACAGUGAGAAAAUGGCUGCCUGUGAACCAGGAAGUAGGCCCUCAGCAGACAAGGAAUCUCCUAGCACCUUGAUCUUGGACUUCCCAGCCUCCAGAACUCUGAUGGACUGCUCACAAUUCCCUGAGGCAACGCUAUUAUAUCAAAAAUGAGGUUGUGAGAGCUAACUGAUUCAUUCAAAAUCAAGUUAAAGGCAGAGCUGGAAUUGAAGGAGUUGUUCUUAAGAAGAGGAAAUUCAAACACACAGAGAUACUAAGGAUGCACACAGACAGAGGAAAAAAUCACGUGAGGACACAGCAAGAAGGUGGCCAUCUGCGAGUCAUGGCGACAAGCCUAAGAAGAAGAAAAACCUGAAGGCACCUUGAGCCUGGACUUCUAACCUCCAGAGCGAAAUAAAAUUCCCUUGUUUAAACUACCCAGCCUAUGGUACUAUGUUAUGGCAGCCCUAGCUAACAAAUAUAGAACCCUUAACAUAUUUAUCAUAGGUAUUUUAAAUUUUCUGUCUGAAAUUCGAACAUCUGUGUUACAUUUGAGUCUGGGUCUUAUGAUUGCUUUGUCUCUUCAGACUGUGUAUGUGUGAGUGUGUAUAUGUGCGCACAUGCGUACACGCAUGUUUUGCCUUUUUGUACAUCUUGUAGUUUUUGCUGAAAGCCAAACAUGUUGCAUUGGGUAAUUAUUUUGCUGAAAGCCAAACAUGUUGCAUUGGGUAAUUAUAACUGAGAUAAACUGUCCUUUACUGUCAGGAUUUACAUUAAUCUGGCUGGAAUCUAGGCUGUGUUUAAUCUCAGCUGUAGCUGUGGGUGCCAGAGGCUUCAUGUUCUUCUAGUCUCCUUGCUUUUGUCUUCUUUCUUGACUUUAGGAUUCCCUAAGUACUCCUCCUCACAGAGAGUCUGCAUCUUGCAGCUCUUUCCGAUGUAAUCCAGUGUUACUAUAUUGCAGUCCUGCUGGUGUGGUGGUAAAGUGUCAGUGAGGG
rnacentral:lncRNA from 1 species